CUUGAAUCCCUUCUGAAUGCUUUGGUCAGGAGGUUCAGAUUAGAUAGAAAUAGGUGGAGAAAAGAUUUUUCAGGAAAAAUGACAGCAUUUUUUAAAAUUAAGUGUAUGAUACAAUUAGUUUACUCAUUGUUAAGUCAGUGAAACAUCCAGAGGGCUGAUUGUUGAAAUUGAUAAGCAAAGCUAUAGACAAAGUAGACAAAAGGAACAUGUAGGGAUCCUAUUGGUGGAGGCGGGUGGUUGCAAUAGACAAAGGAGUUAGGUAAUAGACAAAUUAUCGGCAAUCCAAGAGAGACCCUAUAGUUAGUCCAUCAUUUAUCCUCUAGUCUAAGAACCACCCAUUUCAACCAAAACGAUCACUCCUACUCCCUAUGUCUUCUUGUCUAUAGCUUUGUCUAUCAAUUUCAACAAUCAGCCAGCUGAUCCAACUCAAAGGUGAUAAAUCUCAUGUUACUCUCGCCAGUCUUUGCUAGAAAGAAAAAUUUGCCCUGGUCAACCACCAUUCAUGUCAUUCCUGGUCAUUUUGCCUGGCUUUAACAUGAAUCCUCCCAAAUUUGAAAUUAAUUUUGGUUGUCAUUAGUUUCAGAAUGCUCCGACGACGAAUCUGAUAAAGACCACAACCCAAUAGUAGAGCUCAUCGCCAAAAAAACGCUCCCAAUUAGUCAAAAUGGCGAAAAAUGGGGCGAAUGAGUUCCACAGUGUUCGAAAACGACUGAAACUCAACAAGAAUGACUCAAUUUACAGUGAAGAUGACUCGUGCCGCUUCAACAUCAAAAUCAGGCUGCCAAAAAGACCUUUAAAAUCAAGCAGAAGCUUGCCAAAAAGUUGAAGCAGAACAGGCCUAUUCCCCAAUGGAUCCGCAUGAGGACGGGAAUACCAUCAGGUAUAAUGCCAAGAGGACGUCACUGGAGAAGAACAAAGCUGAAGUUGUAAACAACUCCAAACAAAUCUUACAUUCCGUAUUUUUUUUUUUCUUUUUCUGCUUAAUUUGAUGUAUCGAAAGAAUGAAGAUUUUUUCACAUUUUAUCUGUAAAAAACUGUACAGCGAUUUCCUUUUUUAUAAUGUUCUGAUUCAUUUUGUUGAAAUAAAUGAAAUGAAGGAUUAAUUGUAGUCAUCUUCAUCAUUAAAUGGGUACCAAACUAAUAUUUUCAUAUUUUAUUAGGAUUUAAACAAAAAAUUAAAAAUUACUUUAAUGGACUUAGCAAUAAACAGCAAGAAAUUUGGCUGCCAAAUUUCAAGACUUUUUGAUAAAUAAUUUAUUAUGACCUCAUUAACAUGAUGAGCUUUAAAAAUCUAACUUUCUGUUGCGAUGUGAGAAAAGAUAAGCUGAAAAGCCAACUUUCCAGCCUUUUUAC
rnacentral:lncRNA from 1 species